rnacentral:rRNA from 1 species
UACGUAGGGUCCGAGCGUUGUCCGGAAUUAUUGGGCGUAAAGAGCUCGUAGGCGGUCUGUCGCGUCGGCUGUGAAAACUCAGGGCUCAACCCUGAGCCUGCAGUCGAUACAGGCGGACUAGAGUUCGGUAGGGGAGACUGGAAUUCCUGGUGUAGCGGUGAAAUGCGCAGAUAUCAGGAGGAACACCGGUGGCGAAGGCGGGUCUCUGGGCCGAUAUUGACGCUGAGGAGCGAAAGCGUGGGGAGCGAACAGG